rnacentral:tRNA from 1 species
AACAAAGAAGUAAAAAUUACAUUUAGUUUCGACCUAAAAUUAAGAAAUAAGUCUCAUGUUU